UACGUAGGGACCAAGCGUUGUUCGGAUUUACUGGGCGUAAAGGGCGCGUAGGCGGCGCGGUAAGUCACUUGUGAAAUCUCUGAGCUUAACUCAGAACGGGCAAGUGAUACUGCAGUGCUAGAGUGUGGAAGGGGCAAUCGGAAUUCUUGGUGUAGCGGUGAAAUGCGCAGAUAUCAGGAGGAACACCGGUGGCGAAGGCGGGUCUCUGGGCCGAUACUGACGCUGAGGAGCGAAAGCGUGGGGAGCGAACAGG
rnacentral:rRNA from 1 species